CACGUAGGGCGCAAGCGUUGUCCGGAAUCAUUGGGCGUAAAGCGCGUGUAGGCGGCUCGAUAAGUCUGCUGUGAAAGUCCAAGGCUCAACCUUGGGAUGCCGGUGGAUACUGUCGAGCUCGAGUCCGGAAGAGGAGUGUGGAAUUCCUGGUGUAGCGGUGAAAUGCGCAGAUAUCAGGAGGAACACCAAUGGCGAAGGCAGCUCUCUGGGACGUGACUGACGCUGAGACGCGAAAGCGUGGGGAGCAAACAGG
rnacentral:rRNA from 1 species